rnacentral:pre_miRNA from 1 species
CGUGUACUACCUCCAUCCAAUAAAAGAUAUCUCAAGUUUGUUAAAAUUUGAAUGUAUUUAGACAUGACUUAGUAUACAGAUGCAUUAAAAUUUAGUCAAAAUUAAGACAUUUUUUUGUUGGACGGAGGAAAUAGUCC